rnacentral:rRNA from 1 species
GACAAACAGAUCAAGCUAAAAUUAAUGAUAGUAUAAAAGGAGGUUAAGAGUUGUUGAAAGUGGAAAGUAAUGCUUUUUAUGGGGGUAGAAUUUGUAUAAAAAGAAAUAAUUUUUGUUUUCCUUAGCUUUGAGGCCUCGAAAUUUUGUUAUGAGACCGGGAUUAGAUACCCCGUUAUUCAGAAUGUAAACGUUGAUUAGUAUAUGGAAUUAAUUUACUUGAGUAUUACGAGUAAUAAGAUAUAAACUUAUUAUUUGCUUAAAACUCAAAAAACUUGGCGGUGCCUUAUAUCCUUCCAGGGGAACCUGUCCUAUAAUCGAUAGUCCACGUUUUAGCUUUCUUUUUUUUGAAUUAACAGUUUGUAUACCGUCGUCGUCGGGUUACCUUUAAGAGUUGUGAAGUUAUCAGCAGGAGGAGAAUGUGUAAAUUUAAGUUUAAAUAAGUAUUACAUGUUUAUUUCUAGACGUCAGAUCAAGGUGCAGCUUAUAAAAAAGAAGAGAUGGGUUACAGUAAUUAAUUUAUUAUUACGGAUCUUUGUUGUAAAUAAGCAUAGUUGAAGGAGGACUUGGAAGUAAUUAUAAGAUAAGAUAGUUUAAAUGAAAAUAGGCUCUGAGGUGCGC